UUAAGCGACUAAGCGUACACGGUGGAUGCCCUGGCAGUCAGAGGCGAUGAAGGACGUGCUAAUCUGCGAAAAGCGUCGGUAAGGUGAUAUGAACCGUUACAGCCGGCGAUGUCCGAAUGGGGAAACCCAGUGCAAUUCGUUGCACUAUCGUUAACUGAAUACAUAGGUUAACGAGGCGAACCGGGGGAACUGAAACAUCUAAGUACCCCGAGGAAAAGAAAUCAACCGAGAUUCCCCCAGUAGCGGCGAGCGAACGGGGAGCAGCCCAGAGUCUGAAUCAGCUUGUGUGUUAGUGGAACGGUCUGGAAAGUCCGACGGUACAGGGUGAUAGUCCCGUACACCAAAAUGCACAGGCUGUGAACUCGAAGAGUAGGGCGGGACACGUGGUAUCCUGUCUGAAUAUGGGGGGACCAUCCUCCAAGGCUAAAUACUCCUGACUGACCGAUAGUGAACCAGUACCGUGAGGGAAAGGCGAAAAGAACCCCGGCGAGGGGAGUGAAAAAGAACCUGAAACCGUGUACGUACAAGCAGUGGGAGCACCUUCGGGUGUGACUGCGUACCUUUUGUAUAAUGGGUCAGCGACUUAUAUUCUGUAGCAAGGUUAACCGUAUAGGGGAGCCGCAGGGAAACCGAGUCUUAACUGGGCGUUAAGUUGCAGGGUAUAGACCCGAAACCCGGUGAUCUAGCCAUGGGCAGGUUGAAGGUUGGGUAACACUAACUGGAGGACCGAACCGACUAAUGUUGAAAAAUUAGCGGAUGACUUGUGGCUGGGGGUGAAAGGCCAAUCAAACCGGGAGAUAGCUGGUUCUCCCCGAAAGCUAUUUAGGUAGCGCCUCGUGAAUUCAUCUUCGGGGGUAGAGCACUGUUUCGGCUAGGGGGUCAUCCCGACUUACCAACCCGAUGCAAACUACGAAUACCGAAGAAUGUUAUCACGGGAGACACACGGCGGGUGCUAACGUCCGUCGUGAAGAGGGAAACAACCCAGACCGCCAGCUAAGGUCCCAAAGUCAUGGUUAAGUGGGAAACGAUGUGGGAAGGCACAGACAGCCAGGAUGUUGGCUUAGAAGCAGCCAUCAUUUAAAGAAAGCGUAAUAGCUCACUGGUCGAGUCGGCCUGCGCGGAAGAUGUAACGGGGCUAAACCAUGCACCGAAGCUGCGGCAGCGACACUAUGUGUUGUUGGGUAGGGGAGCGUUCUGUAAGCCUGCGAAGGUGACCUGUGAGGGUUGCUGGAGGUAUCAGAAGUGCGAAUGCUGACAUAAGUAACGAUAAAGCGGGUGAAAAGCCCGCUCGCCGGAAGACCAAGGGUUCCUGUCCAACGUUAAUCGGGGCAGGGUGAGUCGACCCCUAAGGCGAGGCCGAAAGGCGUAGUCGAUGGGAAACAGGUUAAUAUUCCUGUACUUGGUGUUACUGCGAAGGGGGGACGGAGAAGGCUAUGUUAGCCGGGCGACGGUUGUCCCGGUUUAAGCAUGUAGGCUGGUUAUCCAGGCAAAUCCGGAUAAUCAAGGCUGAGGUGUGAUGACGAGGCACUACGGUGCUGAAGUAACAAAUGCCCUGCUUCCAGGAAAAGCCUCUAAGCAUCAGGUAACAUCAAAUCGUACCCCAAACCGACACAGGUGGUCAGGUAGAGAAUACCAAGGCGCUUGAGAGAACUCGGGUGAAGGAACUAGGCAAAAUGGUGCCGUAACUUCGGGAGAAGGCACGCUGGUGUGUAGGUGAAGUCCCUGCGGAUGGAGCUGAGACCAGUCGAAGAUACCAGCUGGCUGCAACUGUUUAUUAAAAACACAGCACUGUGCAAACACGAAAGUGGACGUAUACGGUGUGACGCCUGCCCGGUGCCGGAAGGUUAAUUGAUGGGGUUAUCCGUAAGGAGAAGCUCUUGAUCGAAGCCCCGGUAAACGGCGGCCGUAACUAUAACGGUCCUAAGGUAGCGAAAUUCCUUGUCGGGUAAGUUCCGACCUGCACGAAUGGCGUAAUGAUGGCCAGGCUGUCUCCACCCGAGACUCAGUGAAAUUGAACUCGCUGUGAAGAUGCAGUGUACCCGCGGCAAGACGGAAAGACCCCGUGAACCUUUACUAUAGCUUGACACUGAACAUUGAGCCUUGAUGUGUAGGAUAGGUGGGAGGCUUUGAAGCGUGGACGCCAGUCUGCGUGGAGCCAACCUUGAAAUACCACCCUUUAAUGUUUGAUGUUCUAACGUUGGCCCCUUACCGGGGUUGCGGACAGUGUCUGGUGGGUAGUUUGACUGGGGCGGUCUCCUCCCAAAGCGUAACGGAGGAGCACGAAGGUUAGCUAAUCCUGGUCGGACAUCAGGAGGUUAGUGCAAUGGCAUAAGCUAGCUUGACUGCGAGCGUGACGGCGCGAGCAGGUGCGAAAGCAGGUCAUAGUGAUCCGGUGGUUCUGAAUGGAAGGGCCAUCGCUCAACGGAUAAAAGGUACUCCGGGGAUAACAGGCUGAUACCGCCCAAGAGUUCAUAUCGACGGCGGUGUUUGGCACCUCGAUGUCGGCUCAUCACAUCCUGGGGCUGAAGUAGGUCCCAAGGGUAUGGCUGUUCGCCAUUUAAAGUGGUACGCGAGCUGGGUUUAGAACGUCGUGAGACAGUUCGGUCCCUAUCUGCCGUGGGCGCUGGAGAAUUGAGGGGGGCUGCUCCUAGUACGAGAGGACCGGAGUGGACGCAUCACUGGUGUUCGGGUUGUCAUGCCAAUGGCACUGCCCGGUAGCUAAAUGCGGAAGAGAUAAGUGCUGAAAGCAUCUAAGCACGAAACUUGCCCCGAGAUGAGUUCUCCCUGAGACUUUAAGUCUCCUGAAGGAACGUUAAAGACGAUGACGUUGAUAGGCCGGGUGUGUAAGCGCAGCGAUGCGUUGAGCUAACCGGUACUAAUGAACCGUGAGGCUUAACCUU
rnacentral:rRNA from 3 species